rnacentral:rRNA from 1 species
AUUGAACGCUGGCGGCGUGCUUAACACAUGCAAGUCGAGCGGUAACAGGCGUAGCAAUACGUGCUGACGAGCGGCGAACGGGUGCGUAAUACAUCGGAAUCUGCCUCGUAGUGGGGAAUAACCCGGCGAAAGCCGGGCUAAUGCCGCAUACGAUCCACGGAUGAAAGCGGGGGACCUUCGGCCUCGCGCUAUGAGAUGAGCCGAUGUCGGAUUAGCUAGUGGUGGAGGUAACGGCUCACCAAGGCGACGAUCCGUAGCUGGUCUGAGAGGACGGCCAGCCACACUGGGACUGAGACACGGCCCAGACUCCUACGGGAGGCAGCAGUGGGAAUAUUGGACAAUGGGGAAACCUGAUCCAGCGACGCCGCGUGUGUGAA